UACGUAGGGUGCGAGCGUUAAUCGGAAUUACUGGGCGUAAAGUGUGCGCAGGCGGACGCGCAAGUCGAGUGUGAAAUCCCCCGAGCUUAACUUGGGAAUUGCGCUCGAAACUACGUGGCUGGAGUGUGGCAGAGGAAGGUGGAAUUCCACGUGUAGCGGUGAAAUGCGUAGAGAUGUGGAGGAACACCGAUGGCGAAGGCAGCCUUCUGGGCCAACACUGACGCUCAUGCACGAAAGCGUGGGGAGCAAACAGG
rnacentral:rRNA from 1 species